rnacentral:sRNA from 1 species
ACGUACAGGGAGUACGUUGCGGUUCCUGUGCUCCGUCCGCCUUGCCUGAGACCUGCUCGCUGCGCUUCCUCAGCC